CUGAGCUCCUGUUUUCUGAUCUGUGAUAUCAAAGAUGUAUAAUUCUGGGAGCUCUUUGAUUCCGGCCUUGAGGUGUUUUCAGAACUGCUUGGAUUUUUCUGCGGAUGCUUUCCACUGGGUCAUGUCGCUUCUCAGUUGUCUUCUUUGCAGAGGCCAUUGCUGACCUUCCUCCUGAGACAGAUGAAGUGGUUAAGCUCAAGAUGAUGGCCAUCAGCUCCAGCUAAUGAAGUCUCCAUCAACAGAAUCCUUCACUAUUUAAGGUAGUAAUCAUUUUCUCAGUUGACAAUACCUUCCUUUCCUUCUAUUCAAGGCUUAUCUUUCAACAGCAAGCCUAAAACAUAUUCCCCUAUUGAAAUUCUGGAAUCAAUGUAUUCUCACUGGACUCAAGCUUUCUGUUCUCUCCUAGGAUGUAUAAUUGCACUACAUUUUAGUUAUUUAAUUAGAUUUUGUCUUGGAAUGUAUCAAAUGUGUACGCAUGUGUAUGCAAUUUAAUUCUUGUAUUCAAAAGUCAUGAUGUGACUCUCUUUUACAUACUAAACACAUUGUUGUCGGCAUCAACUAAGAACCUGCAAUUGUGUAUAGUGUAUAUAAUUACCAGGCUUGUGACCUUGUCCCCCAGCUGCAGUGUGUUGACUCUCAACUACUUGUAGCUACCAUUUUUUUCUAGAGAAUAGCCCCUGGCUUCUCCACUGGGAGCUUCUCAUUGCUUAACUGGGAGGUUGGAAGUGAAGUAGUGGUAAUGGCAGAAGAGAAUUCUACCUUCUAACACAUGGCUGGCUGUGGUGGUGACAGGGCUGGAACCAUCUGCUCCAGGUCAAUAAAGACCUCUUUAGAGCCUGGUUAAGUAUCUGUCAGUGUUCUCAAUGUGAGGUGACUGCUUUCCCCUUCUAGAGCCAGAGAAGCAGGGGAAAGGUUGAGCUUGAGGCUAACAGAAGCCCUAGAACUUGCACCUCAGAUUCUCAGACACAUCUGCCUGUGAACAUCUGUGAAUAUUGAUGUGGGAUACUGUUCGAGCCACAGGGAAAAGCCUCACUUUGUGGGUAUUGGUGACUGAUCCAGAUAAAUGUUCCUGGCCUAGAAGUCACCACAUUUCUAUUUGCUUUUUCCAAGGCAUUUUUCUCCUUCUACUAUCUGCUUUCUAAACUUCCACGACUCACCUCAGUAAGCCCUGCUCCAUGGUUUAUAAACUAAACCUAACAAAGAGUACACUUAAGACACUGAUUCUCGGAGUUUCCAUCAUGGCUCAGCGGGAACGAA